AUGCUUGCUUUGUCAGCACAUGCACUAAUACUGGAAUGAGACAGAGAAGAUUAGUACAGCCCCUGUGCAAGGAGAUACACGACAAAACGGAAACUAGAGAGAAGUAC
ensembl:snRNA U6 U6 spliceosomal RNA